CUACGGGGGGCAGCAGUGGGGAAUAUUGGACAAUGGGCGAAAGCCUGAUCCAGCCAUGCCGCGUGUGUGAAGAAGGCCUUCGGGUUGUAAAGCACUUUCAGUGGGGAAGAAAGCCUUGGGGCUAAUACCCUCGAGGAAGGACAUCACCCACAGAAGAAGCACCGGCUAACUCCGUGCCAGCAGCCGCGGUAAUACGGAGGGUGCGAGCGUUAAUCGGAAUUACUGGGCGUAAAGCGCGCGUAGGCGGUCUGAUAAGCCGGUUGUGAAAGCCCCGGGCUCAACCUGGGAACGGCAUCCGGAACUGUCAGGCUAGAGUGCAGGAGAGGAAGGUAGAAUUCCCGGUGUAGCGGUGAAAUGCGUAGAGAUCGGGAGGAAUACCAGUGGCGAAGGCGGCCUUCUGGACUGACACUGACGCUGAGGUGCGAAAGCGUGGGUAGCAAACAGGAUUAGAUACCCCGGUAGUC
rnacentral:rRNA from 1 species